UGUCAUUGCUUUCAUUCCUUACCAUUGUUACCAAGUUAUCCAGUUGGAUCUAAGGUGCAAUAUAUUUUUCUACGGCAUGCAAAUUCAUUUCAUGUGAAUGAAACAUGAUAUGCCUUAUGAUACAUUUUUAUUAGGACGCAACUUUGGAGAUGAUGGACUACUUUUUCUUGCCGAGAGCUUAGGUUACAAUCAGAUUGUUGAGGAAGUAAGUUUUGCUGCUAAUGGCAUAACAGCCACAGGAAUAAAAGCCUUUGACGGUGUUCUUCAAGCAAAUACGGUAUUGAAAACACUUAAUCUUUCAGGAAACCCAUUGGAGAUGGAGGAGUAAAGUCCCUAUGUGAAACAAUGGUAGCAUUUAAAAGCUCCAGCUAA